AUACCACUCCUAACCCUAAACUCAAUGGCCUCCUCCCGUUUGCAAACUUUCUUAUGUUCUUAUGCUAGAAUCUGGGGAUAUACAAAGACGUAUAGCUGGUGAAUUCGGUUGUUUUCAGACUGUGGACACGUUAUCAAAUCAUUAGGUUUGGGCACCACAACACGAGCGAUUUCUUCAGACGCAUUUCAAAUGAUCAAUACAUUCAUUGAUAUGCUCAGUGUGUAAAUAGCUCCCCUGUAAUGGUCACAUUUCAUUGUGGUUGUUAACUGUGUUCGGGAAAAAAAUGUUUUAUUUUUGUCGCGUAGUGCCUUCAGUUAGCUGUGUGUAUUUAUUGAUGUGGCAGUGCAUAGCUUGCAGAGUGACGAGACACAUGUGUUGAAGUCACUCUUGUCCCGUUUCAUCUCUGCCCUAUCCUAACACCGGAACACAUUUCCUGUUUCUAUUUUCGAUUCCCUGUGAAGUGUGCCUACUCUUGAUCUUGUGAUGUGGAAAUUCAACUUUAAAGCCUUUAUCUAGAGACAAUCCCCCCCCCCCUUCUCUACCAUAAAAAAACGAAAUACUGAAUUAUAAAUCGGGGUGCCGCCACUCAAAUCAACCCCCGCCCAAACGAAGAAGAAGCAGAAAAAAAUAGUGCUUGUGAUGUUUUUUUCGUCCUCCCAGACUUCAAAAGAAACACCUCUGACUCCAGUUUCAGAAAAACAUCUAAACAAAAACAAAAACGCAAAUUUCAUGGGCUGCCACACUGCACAUGCCACAUAAAAAGAUGAUCUCUCAAUUUUGAACAGGAACGACCCUGUCUGUGCCUCAGAUCUCAGGAGCUGGCCUCACCAGCGGCCCGAGCCAGCUGCCGACAGCUUGAAGUGUAAGAGUAACCAUGGCGACUGCAAGGAAAGGCAACCUUGGUUCUCCUUAUUGAUUGUUUGUUUCCCCUGGUCUGAAUUAAACUGCUGACUUUGUGCUGUCAAAAUGUAAAAUCAAGAAAAGACAAAAGCCUACUGUCGCCGGCCCCUGACUGCAGUGGAUUUCUUUCAGGGUGGUUUUGAGGAAAUAAGCAAAUAUUGAAAAGAGGAUUUCUGUGGGUUAUUAUUCCCUGUGCUAUGAAUCAUUAUUUUGAGUCACAUCUGCAGGGGCUUAGAAAUGUAGGACGAACAGAAUCAUUUUGUCCAGUUUAAUAUGAGAUUGAACGCGGUUCCCUGGGGUACCACAAUAGCAAAACCUAUAAAAAAUGUAUUUUAACACUAAGAUUUCAUUUAUGUCCAUGGUCUGCAUUGCAUUGUUCAAGCUCACUUCCAAUGGUGCGAUACAUUAAUAUUACACACGUCUAGAGAUUGUACAAGAAAAGAUUUCUUCACUUACCUAAAACAUUUUGAAAUCUAUAAAUAAGAAAAACACUUUGAGAAAAAGUAGGUCAAAUCCUGGUGUAGUUGCUUGUGUCUGCAAAUAAAUUGUGACAUUGGAACCUCUAUUCUGACCAGCAAAAUACAGUAAUCACUUUACACUGCAUUCAAAUAAACUGUCUGUUUUACAAUUCGCAUGAGUAAGAUGAUAAACAUUGUAUUACUGUAGCUUUCAUCAGGCAGCAUUAUGAUAACAUCUUAAUAAAGUUAUCCAA